UACGUAGGAGGCAAGCGUUGUCCGGAAUUACUGGGUGUAAAGCGCGUUCAGGCGGUUUGGCAAGUCGGGCAUGAAAUCUCUCGGCUCAACCGGGAGAGGUUGUCCGAUACUGCUGGACUUGAGGGCAGUAGAGGGUGGUGGAAUUCCGGGUGUAGUGGUGAAAUGCGUAGAUAUCCGGAGGAACACCAGUGGCGAAAGCGGCCACCUGGACUGUACCUGACGCUGACACGCGAAAGCUAGGGGAGCGAACGGG
rnacentral:rRNA from 1 species